UGCAGUCGAGCGAACUGAUUAGAAGCUUGCUUCUAUGACGUUAGCGGCGGACGGGUGAGUAACACGUGGGCAACCUGCCUGUAAGACUGGGAUAACUUCGGGAAACCGAAGCUAAUACCGGAUAGGAUCUUCUCCUUCAUGGGAGAUGAUUGAAAGAUGGUUUCGGCUAUCACUUACAGAUGGGCCCGCGGUGCAUUAGCUAGUUGGUGAGGUAACGGCUCACCAAGGCAACGAUGCAUAGCCGACCUGAGAGGGUGAUCGGCCACACUGGGACUGAGACACGGCCCAGACUCCUACGGGAGGCAGCAGUAGGGAAUCUUCCGCAAUGGACGAAAGUCUGACGGAGCAACGCCGCGUGAGUGAUGAAGGCUUUCGGGUCGUAAAACUCUGUUGUUAGGGAAGAACAAGUACGAGAGUAACUGCUCGUACCUUGACGGUACCUAACCAGAAAGCCACGGCUAACUACGUGCCAGCAGCCGCGGUAAUACGUAGGUGGCAAGCGUUAUCCGGAAUUAUUGGGCGUAAAGCGCGCGCAGGCGGUUUCUUAAGUCUGAUGUGAAAGCCCACGGCUCAACCGUGGAGGGUCAUUGGAAACUG
rnacentral:rRNA from 1 species